AAAACAAUGCCGUUCGGGUUA
rnacentral:misc_RNA from 1 species